UACAGAGGGGGGCAAGCGUUGUUCGGAAUUACUGGGCGUAAAGGGCGCGUAGGCGGCCUUCUAAGUCGAACGUGAAAUCCCCCGGGCUCAACCCGGGAACUGCGUCCGAUACUGGAAGGCUUGAAUCCGGGAGAGGGAUGCGGAAUUCCAGGUGUAGCGGUGAAAUGCGUAGAUAUCUGGAGGAACACCGGUGGCGAAGGCGGCCAGCUGGCGCUGACCUGACGCUGAGGCGCGAAGGCGUGGGGAGCGAACGGG
rnacentral:rRNA from 1 species